rfam:Trichobilharzia regenti genome assembly, scaffold: TRE_scaffold0059862
AUCCAGUUGACGAGUCCCAAAUGGGACGAAAUGUGCACCCUGGAU